rnacentral:rRNA from 2 species
CAAAAACAUAGCCAAUAGAAAAAAUUAUUAUUGGUGAUGCCUGCUCAAUGAAAAUAGCUGCGGUAACACCUGACCGUACAAAGGUAGCACAAUAAAUCGCCUACUAAUUAUAGGAUAGAAUGAAGGUAAAACGAAGAUCUUACUGUCUCAAGACCAUAAAAUUUAAAAUAGAAUGUGUGUGUAAAUCCACACUAAGACGGCAAGACGAUAAGACCCUAAGAACUUUAAAUUCUAAGUUUCGUUGGGGCAACGAUCUUUAAAAAAGUAACUAAGAUAAGACCCAUUAAAUUAAUGAUAAUAUAAUAAAAGUUCCUUAGGGAUAACAGCGUCAUAUCGUUUCAAGAGAACCAUCCAAACGAUGUUUGCGACCUCGAU